rnacentral:tRNA from 1 species
GGCCCCAUCGUCUAACGGUUAGGACGUGAGCUUCUCAAGCUUAAAAUCGGGGUUCGAUUCCCCGCGGGGUCACAA